CGAGUACGAGAUGCUACGGCGUUGAAGCAGUGUAUGUCAGACUUCCAAGAAAAGCUUGCACUGUCAGAAACAGAUAAUGCCUGUACCAUAACCGACACAGGUGGGUAGGUAGAGUAUACUAAGGGGCGCGAGAUAACUCUCUCUAAGGAACUCGGCAAAAUGACUCCGUAACUUCGGGAGAAGGAGUGCCUUAUUUUUAAGGUUGCAAUAACAAGAUCCAAGCAACUGUUUACCAAAAACACAGGUCUCCGCUAAGUCGUAAGACGAUGUAUGGGGGCUGACGCCUGCCCAGUGCCAGAAGGUUAAAGAAGUCGGUUAGCAUUCGCGAAGCUGGUAACUGAAGCCCUGGUGAACGGCGGCCGUAACUAUAACGGUCCUAAGGUAGCGAAAUUCCUUGUCGGGUAAGUUCCGACCCGCACGAAAGGCGUAAUGAUUUGGAUACUGUCUCGGAGAGGGGCUCGGUGAAAUAGACUUGUCUGUGAAGAUGCGGACUACCUGCACCUGGACAGAAAGACCCUAUGAAGCUUUACUGUAACUUGAAAUUGAAAUUGGACUUUAUUUGCGCAGUAUAGGUGGGAGGCGUUGAAAAUAUUCUUGCAGGAAUAUUGGAGCCAUCAGUGAGAUACCACUCUUGUAAUGUUAGAUUUCUAACUUUAUAUCAUUAUCUGGUUAAAGAACAGUUUCAGGCGGGCAGUUUGACUGGGGCGGUCGCCUCCCAAAUGGUAACGGAGGCGCACAAAGGUUUCCUCUGAACGGGUAGAAAUCGUAUCUAGAGUGUAAAGGCAUAAGGAAGCUUGACUGUGAGACCUACAAGUCGAGCAGGGACGAAAGUCGGUCUUAGUGAUCUGACGGUGCUGAGUGGAAAGGCCGUCACUCAACGGAUAAAAGUUACUCUAGGAUAACAGGCUGAUCUCCCCCAAGAGUUCACAUCGACGGGGAGGUUUGGCACCUCGAUGUCGGCUCAUCGCAUCCUGGGGCGGUUGUACGUCCCAAGGGUUGGGCUGUUCGCCCAUGAAAGCGGUACGCGAGCUGGGUUCAGAACGUCGUGAGACAGUUCGGUCCAUAUCCGGUGUAGGCGUUGGAAUAUUGAGAGGAGCCUUCUUUAGUACGAGAGGACCGAGAAGGACAUACCUCUGGUGUACCAGUUAUCGUGCCAACGGUAAACGCUGGGUAGCUAUGUAUGGAGUGGAUAACCGCUGAAAGCAUCUAAGUGGGAAGCCCACCUCAAGAUAAGUAUUCUCA
rnacentral:rRNA from 1 species